AGUGAACGCUGGCGGCGUGCCUAAUACAUGCAAGUCGAACGGAGUGGCGCACGGGUGGGUAAUGUAUAGCUAAUCUGCCCUCCACUAGAGGGCAACAGUUGGAAACGACUGCUAAUACUCUAUAGUGUAGGAUGAGGCUAUAUUGUAUCAGCUAGUUGGUGAGGUAGUGGCUCCACAAGGCUAUGACGCAUAACUGGUCUGAGAGGAUGAUCAGUCACACUGUAACGGAGACACGGUUGAGACUCCUACGGGAGUGAGCAGUAGGGAAGAGUGCUCAAUGGGGGAAACCCUGAAGCAGCAACGCCGCGUGGAGGAUGACACUUUGCGGAGCGUAAACUCCUUUUGUUAGGGAAGCGGUACCUAACGAAUAAGCACCGGCUAACUCCGUGCCAGCAGCCGCGGUAAUAC
rnacentral:rRNA from 1 species